UCCUGAUGGUUCAAAUGGUAAAGAAUCCUCCUUCGAUGCAGGAGACCCAGGCUCAAUUCCUGGAUCAGGAA
rnacentral:tRNA from 1 species